rnacentral:pre_miRNA from 1 species
CAGCCCUUGUUGGAGAAGCAGGGCACGUGCAAAGCUUUUCUCUCUCUCUCUCGCUCUCUCGUCUAACUCUCCACCUUUGCACGUGCUCCCCUUCUCCAACAUAGGCUU